rnacentral:lncRNA from 1 species
CUGGACUGUCUCCUGAGAGAGAGGAGACAGACAUAGCUCAUGGCAGUUUAUAAAGAGGCUUACCCUGUGGACAUCCUGGAGGAUGACGCGGAGGGCUAUCAGGCAGCAGCUGAGGCUUACUAUGAGAUGCUCAGGGAAGGAGCCCAGACCUCAGCAGAGGUUAUCUCCCUUUCCACUGGGGAGCAGGUCAGACUUGAGGCUUCAUCUCUUUGUUUUUGCACGAUGUACCGUGAUGAACCUCAACAUAAAAUACUGGGUUUGGUUAGUCCCCAGGACACAAAGACAGUUGUGGCUGUUUACUUAAAGGAAUCCUGGUGGUCCAUCGAAGACAUCCUAAGAACUUCUGAUCCCACGCGGGAAGGGCUCAUGAAGGUUCAGUCCUUUGGGGAAAGGAUUAUUCUCUUUGUUCUCAACGUGAUUGUUUUUGGAAGACUGGAGAGAAGGCUGCACAGCGAUGACAUGUUUUUCUUACCUCACCCUGCGAAGGAGCAAGCUAAGAUUCUGUGGAGAGAUGGAGCCGCGGUUGCAUUUUACUCAGUCAAAAUGAAAGGGCAGCCUCUGUGGUGAUGGUACCGGCACAUGCUACCUGCUGCCUGUCUUCGACACCGUGUUUGUGAGGAGGAAGAACCGUUGUCAAGGCCUGGGGACAGCCAUGCUGAGGGACUUCUGUGACACCUUUCAAGGAGACGAAGCUCUGGGUAUCAGUUGUCCGAUAUCUCCUGCCAUGUACAGAGUCCUCAGGCAGUUCCUGUUGACCUGUCCAGGCGAGAGAGGGCGCUUGUGGGAGGUGGAGCCCCCGGGGGCCUGGGGCCAGCAGCGUGUUAACAUCUGGCUCAAGGUUUAUCUUCAAGAGCGGAGACUUCAAGAUGGGAGCACCGUGCACCCUAAAUGUUCUGAAGAGGACACGGACACUCCUGGGCAGGCUUCUAAGGAGGAUGGACCCACACAGUUUAAUCAUGGAGAAAGCCACAAGGAGUGGGCUGUUGGAGAACCGGAGAGGACACAGAAUGACCGACGGUGUGCGGAAGUGUGUGAGGAAGCGCGUUAGGUGUGAACUCGGCACCUAACUCCUCAGAGGUCCGUCUGGCUUCUCCAGGAACGGAGCCUGAGGGUUUUAUACAGCCCUGAAUAGUCUCUGGUCCCGAGGAUGGUGUUUGUUAUCUCUGGCUCCCCUGGUAGGCUCCGGAACAACAGGGUCUGAAGACGUGCUUGGGUGAGCCAGUUACUCAAUGGGAGCCACUUUUGUGGGCCAACUGUUGGCAGAUGCAGGACUUUAGAACGUCAUUCAUUAAAAUGACCAUUGCUUCCACUCCCCAGGAGGAUAGGAGGGAGAUGCGUGGGACCCUGUGAAUGAAUGCACACCCUUCCCUUUAGUGGAAACAGGCUCAGAGAUGGACCAUGGUUCCCAUCCAUGUUGUACAUUCAGCCCUGUUGUAACCUCAGAGCUCCACAGUGGAGUUUUUCAGGGAGACACAUUCCUUCUCUGGGGACUUGUCAGUCACUUCUGAGCUCCUUGAGGACACACACCAGGGCUGGAUAAUGUCAACCAUGCCAGGGCCCAAUGGUGGCCACUGUGGGCCUUGGACUGCAUUAGGCUCAGUGUACUGCCCGUGUUGCCUUCAAUGCCAUCGGGUCCAGAUGUCUGCAUGCAGGGGAGGAUUUCUACCUGAGAAAGCGAGCCUGGCACUUUAUGUUCCCUGAAUGCUCAACAACAUAUGCUGUGGGGCCUUAUAUUUGUCAAAGCGUGCAGCUCUUUGCUCAUUUCUACAUACAUGCACACAUGCAUGCGUGCACACAUACAUCUCUCAUUUUCUCUCUCUUCUUUUUCCUUCACCUCUUCUCUUCCUCUCCCCUUUCCUCUAACCAUUUAUCUGUAUAUAUAUGUGUGUGUGUAUACACAUAUAUACAUAUACAUAUACAUAUACAUAUACAUAUACAUGUUGUGAUCGUUUGUGUAUGCUAGGCCCAGGGAGUGGCACUUUUAGAAGGUGUGGCCCUGUUGGAGUAGGUGUGUCACUGUGGGUGUCUGGCUUUAAGACCCUCAUCCUAGCUGUCUGGAAGCGACUAUUCUGGUAGCAGCCUUCAGAUGAAGAUGUAGAACUCUCAGCUCUGCCUGCGCCAUUCCUGCCCAGAUACUGCCAUGCUCCCUCCCACCUUGAUGAUAAUGGACUGAAUCUCUGAACCUGUAAACCAGCCCCAAUUAAAUUUUUUUUUUUUAAUAAGACUUGCCUUGGUCAUGGUGUCUGCUCACAGCAGUAAAACCCUAACUAAGGCACACACACAUAUAUCAUACAUAAACAUAUGUACACAACCAUACACACAUGUACACUCACACAUACAUUCUCUCUAUUUCCUUUGAUUCACUGCUGUAUCCCCUAUCAGUCUGUCCUCUCUUGUUCCUUCCUUUCUCCACCCAUCCAGCAUGCUUUCUGUGGGACAAACUCUGUGUUGUGCUUGGGACAUUAAACUGAGGCUUGGUUUCAGCCUCAGGGAGCUGCUCUCUCUGGGUGGGCUGCCCUGAGUGUCCCCUGCAGUUUCUCUUCGUCUCACACGCAUUGCAAAGAGGGAGGGGCCCAACUGUGAAGAAGCAGAGCUUGCAGCUCCAUACAGGGGCAUCACGAGGACCCCGUUUGCAUAUGGGGUCUGUGAAGGAAGCCCGGACCACAGACAUGGACUGAACAUCUGGGGGGUGCUUUGUGUGGGACCCCACACAUUCUUUAACAUGUAGUUUGUGUGUUGUGAGGAUUUCUUGUUUUCUGUUUAUUUGAAAAUUAACUCAUAAGUUUCUCUGUGAUUUAAUAACAUUAUUGCUCAAUAAAGACCUUCCAUAUAUUAAUAGCUUAA